GGAGGCCACAGGAUGCAUGAGGGACAAGGGGCAUGACGAAUUUCGGAGUAAGGCUGACCCGAUUUCUAAUCCUGACUGCUCCUGGCGAGUUGUGUGGCCUUAGGAAAGUGACCGGCCCUCUCUAAGAUUCAGUUUCCUCGUCUCUGAAAUAAAGAUAUCAACCUUAUCUACCUCACGGGUCUGUCCUGAGGAUGAAAUGAGAAAACACACCAAAAUGCUGGAUACGGUGCUUGGCCCACAGUAAGUGCUCCACAGAAAUGAGCUGAUUCUAACAUCAGCAAAAAUGCUCCUUCCCGCAGACCCACGCAUCCCGGCAGAGCCCAGUCCUGCUGAGGGAAAGAGUCCAGAAGCCCGACCCAUGAAGCUUCCUGGUGACAAGGUCAACUCUUGGAUGCGGGGCUGAUAUUUCUCAAUGGCUCUGAUGCCGGUGAAGAUUAAAUGACUGAAGGACAGGGAGGGAAAGAAUGAAAAGACUCUUCUCUAGAACUGUGAGCCUUGAAUAUCUGUUUUAGCGCCACGACGAGAGGAAACUGGUGUUCGCUGAGCAACUAUUAUGUCCCAGGUGCUUCCCUUGCACUCUCUCUCCCAGGCUUCCCUGUGGUGACAAGGAGGACUGGAGUCUUCUAGGUGACCUGUGUUGGAGUCGCGGCCCUGAUACCCACUAGCUGGGGAACUGCACUGCACUGUAUGUAACGUUUCCUCGUGCAUAAAAUAAGGGUGAUUAUCAUGCUGGGAAGAAACCAUUUCUAUGAAGACCAUGGCACAUAGUAAGCAUCGGGUGGUGGCUAUAAUGGGAAACUUGCCCCAGGUCACACAGCUUGAAAGUGGCAGCACUGAGAUUGGGGCCAGGUCUCCUGCCCCCAAAGCCCACAUUCUUUCCACCACAUCACAUUUUAUCUCUGUGCAAAUACCGUGGUCUGUGGGAUACAAAAUACUUGAGAAAUACUCUCCUGGUCAUUCAAAUGGAGGAUUCUUCUGGGAUUUUUGUAUUAUGUCCAGAGUGUUCUAUAACCAUGAAAUUCAUCUCUCCAGUCACUUCUGAAAGUUUUCCUUCUUAUUCAGGAGCUUAGAAAGGAUGGAGACCCCGAAAUGCAGAAAGACUUAGCCCAGAUCAGAGCAGCCAGCCAGGAACAGAAGCCCCGAUGCCCUCCCCCGGAACUCUCCUGCCUCUUCUUGGAUGGCAGUUUUCCCUGGAAUUCCUGGACACACACAGGGGAAGCAAGUGCAGACAAGAAUGAAACCUCAUUUUAGAGCCUCGGGGAUGUUCCCUACACCCAGCUGAACUGUUUGGUUAACAGAUAAAGAAACUGAGGCCCAGUCUGUCACAUUGGUCAUGACUGCGCUACACUUUCGUGUCUGGAACAAAAUUACCAACUUCCCUUGUGCUUCUGGUAAACAGUGUUGGAGGUUUUUAGCAUCAAUAUGAGCAAUCGUAUAUGAGAAUGUCUCUGGCUAAGCAGUUAAAUUACCACCUUUCUAAAGGCGUCUCGGCCUGAAAUACAUUGUGGCUGGAGCAGUCUGUCACACGUCAAACGACCAUGAGCUCCACAGGCAUACAGAGGUUUGAAUUAGGAGAAAGCUGUUCCACUUGUCAAGGUGGAAGGAAACUUUAUGUAUAUCGUCUUUCUGGCAACAGACUCAAAACAGGGCCUGCUUCUGUCAAAUAAUUCCUCUUUGCAAUGGGCCCUAUGUGAGGCAAUGCUCCGCCACGCUAGGUUAUUUUCAGCCUGCUGGAGCAGAGUAGAGGCUGCUUAGUAGAGGAAGACCAGGCUUAAAGAACUAGCUCUGAGCGUAGUAGGUACCAUGCUUUGUUGCUCUUAGCCUCAGUUUUCUUAUCUAGAAAACAGGUGCAGUAAUAUUUACUGCAUCUAGUCCUAUGGCUUUAAAUACCGUCUGUAGACUGAUGCUUCCCUAAUUCGAAUCUCCAGCCCCAGUCUCUCUCCUGAGCUCUGGCUUCAUAUAUAUGGCCGUCUACUGGACCGCUGCUCUUGGUGUCACAGAGAAGAGGCAGAUGAGGAGAAGAGCAGGCUUGGAGGGGCAGGAAAUGGAAAGUUCUUUUCGGGGCAUGUUGAUUAUUGGAUGUUCAUCCACCUUCUCAGCCCAGACCCAGGAGUCCUAACUCCUCUUCCUUCCUGCUCCACACUUAAUCCAUUAGCCAGUUCUGCCAGCUUUACCUGCAAGAUACAUCUAGAACCUGAUCAUUUCUCACCACAUCCACUAUUUCCACCUACUCCUGGCAUUUCUUUGCCAGGAAGCUAUGGAGCCCUGUAUCAGAAUAAUGUUUCUAAAUACAUAAAAUAAAUUACAGAGAAUACAAAGGAAACCAUCAUACUAAAAUAUAGUUAUCAAAAUAUUUUAAAGAACAAACAUGAUAUAUUGACAUAUGUGCUUCGUUAUUACCAAGUUAAAUAGAAAGAUUGAGUGGUGAGUCUAAUAACUAUCAUAAUUCCAAAGUAGCGAGGAGUAUAAACAGUAUUUCUAGCUACCUGCAGGAACUGUAUGUUAUGUGAUAUAAAAACAUCUGUGACUUCUAGCGGUGACAAAGUCACAGGCAUUACUCAUAUUCAUGUGAUUUAUUGCCUACAUUUAUCAUUUAGUUAGAAGUUCAUGAAAGUUAAUGAAAAUAAGAGAUAUGUAUAUUCUGCCCUCCCCCCACCCCAUCUAAGUUCAUGACCCCCUGAAGUCUGGGUGAGAACACCUGAUGGAGUCCACACUGCGGGCAACUCUGGACUGAAGUUUUGCAGAAGCUUCCAGGCUUCCAACCCAGCCUCCCUCAGUCCAUUCUCCACGUAGCUGUUCCAAAUGUAAGGCCUUGGUCACCGCUAUCAGAGGAAAACAAUUCCUGCCCUAUAGAGACGACUCUAGACUAAAGGAAUGGAGACAUAGAAGGUGCAGACUCAUCAGCCAUGAGAGUUCUGGCAAGGGAAAGGGCAGUCGGGGAAGUUUUUGGAGAAUCUGGAACAAGAGCAGGACCUCUGCCAGUUGAAGUUGUCCUCUGCUUCAGUGUCUCGCUCCAUAUGCUCUGGUCCCCACGUCGCUCACGUUGCCAUUGGUCUCCCCAUCUCAGAACCUGCAGAGAGCCCAGAGGGCAACAGGACACCAGGCAGAAGUCCUGCAAUAGCUGAGCCCACUGCCUCAGAAGGCCUGCACAAACUGCUGUUACCAGCACGCCCUGGGGGCUCAGCUCCCACCCCGGGUGCAGGAUUCCUUCCCACACCUCACAGCGCUCUCCAUGAGAGCAUCGUCAAGAAACACGCUUCCGGAGGAGUACUGUCUGAGUCCUUUUUGGCUGCUAUAACAAAACGCCACAGACUAGGGGGCUGAUAAACAGCAGAAUUUUAUUUCUCACAGUUCUGGAGGUUGGAAGUCCAAAAUCAAGGUGCCAGCACGGUCAUGUUCUGGUGACGGCCCUCCUCCUGCUUCGUAGGUGCUGCCUUCUCACUGUGGCGGAAGGGGCAAGCAAGCUCUCUAGGGUCUCUUCGAUAAGGGCACCAAUCUCAGUGAUGAGGGCUCCACUCUCAGAUGUAAUCGCCUCCCAAAGGCCCACCUCCUAAUACCAUCACUUUGGGGGUUAGGAUUUCAGCAUACGAAUUUCAAGGAGACACAAACAUUUAGACCAGAGCAGAUACUACCAUCCUUUAUCAGCCAGUGCUCAGCUGAUCCUCCCGUGACCGACUCUGGAAUGGGCUUCGCAGGCCUCACUUACGGUCUUGCUCUGGAUCUGGGCUUUGCUCUCUCCUGGCCUGGCCACCUCACACUCAACUUCAGGUUUUGGCAGAGCCCCAACUACCUUCAACUCCCUCCAACCGUCAUGCUGCCUGUGCCCCAGAUCUCUUGGGAAACUGCCUGAAGAAGCAGUCUGUUGGCCACAGAAGAAACCAACCCUUCCCUUUAAUGGCCUCCCACAUCCUGAAAUAAACAGAAGCAAUGACCUAGAUAAGUCCCAGCCUGAUUCACCAGGUUUGGUCCCCAAUUGCUGAAAUUCCCUUCCCGGGGCUCUCAGGAACCAGGCCUGGGUAGAAGGAUUGGGUGGGACUGGCCCUGGGCCGUAUGGCAGGACGCCACAAGGAGCUAUAGGUCAGGAUCUGCGGUGAAGUUGAGGUCUUCCAACAGGACCAGGCUGAAAGGCAGACGCUAGGCCAGAGCACCAGGCCACCUGAACGUGUACAAGCUCAGAGCACAAACGGAGGCCACGGACCAUAUUCCUCAGUGUUUAAAAAUUGGCAUGUGACAGACUGCAGCCACGUAUAAACUACCAUCCAGGAGUGUUCAACACAGCACACGGUCUGGCUGCACCUGAAUCAAAUCCGGUCAGUGAAAUGAACCCAGGCGUGCCCGACUGUCACGGGUAAACCGGAAUGGCGAGGUGGUGAAGGACAGUUUGGAGCAAUCACAUGGGAACUUAACUCUCCAAACCAUUACUGUCCUUUUCAAAGUCGGCCCCCUGGAGACUCCGCUUCUUCUGCCAGGGGCCUUCAACCCGGCACAUUGGAACCACCUGGGGAGUUUUACUGUACUGGUGCUCAGUCUGACUUCCCGAGAUUCUGCCUGAAUUAGGCAGGCGGGGCCCGGGCAUGGGGAUUUUUCAAAUCUUACCAGGUGGUUCUAACAUGCAGAGGGUUCAGAAUUACCGCUCCGAGACUUUUGGGAACUCUUCCCAUAGAAAAGCCUUCAAAGUCUGUGGUGCUUUCUUUUGAAUCUUGUCAACAGUAACCAAUCUUCUUCCUUUGAUGGAUUGGAUUUUGGAAAAACAGCUCAAGUCAUUCAGAACUGAGUCUGCAGAAUAAGAGUGAACUAUUUAUCGCAAACAGGAUGAGAAACCUCAAACACACAACUGGGUACCUCAUGUGGCUCCCCAGGUGGUUUCAAAGGCAAUAAUUCACCGUGCACCUGUCACACACCAGGGGCCCAAACUCUCAAGGAGAUCAGAGCUGGUCCUCCGGGAGGGACCAGGACCUCCAGAGGGAAGCAGGACCCAGCCCUUGAAUUCUUCUGCCACUGGGGCUUCCUUACACUGGAAUUCAUUUGAGGGACUUUGCCAAAUGCCUUGUCCCUCUCCUGCCGCAUGGAGUUGUGGCCUCAAAACAUUCCAGGUUUCUGAGGUAAAGAUGCUCUGUGACCAGCACCUCACCAGGCUGCAUUUGAUCCCAAGCUGUGCCUGGGGUUGAGGCUGAGUGACCUCCUGUCCCAUCCUCCGUGCCCACCCACAGAUGCCACAGGUCCUGCCCACCUUGCCUCAUCUCUUGAUGGAAGAUUCCCAGAAGGUUCUAGAAAAGGAAUCAAAGCGUCAGUGAGGAAUGAAACUGGGACAGACUGACAAGAGGAAAGGAAGCCUGUGACUUAGCCUUUCUUAGUUAUACUGUGUUCUGACUGCUGAUUUCAUGGUGUAACCUCGAAGGAUGUCUAAACGGCUCUCGACCUCAGUUUCCCCAGCUGUAAAUGAGGGAGAUUUAAGUGGAUAAUCUUUAUCCUUUCCAGUUUUGAAAUACUGAAAGCAUAAGAUUCUAUAGAUCUGAAUUUUCAAAAUCAAGACUAGAUUUUAAGGUAAAUUCAUUAUAGCUCCGGCCUCUGCUACCCAGGGGGACAAGAAACAGAUGGGCACAAAAGCAGAGCGGCCACACUGAGUGUAAAAGCCAGAGACAAGUCUCGAUGGCCUGGGUGUGCCCUAGCUGCAUCCCCACAAUGAGCUUUCCAGAGAAGCCUGGGGACAGUCCCCUGAUGCCCAAGUGAGGGAAAUGCCUUUCCCUGCUGCCUGUUACAUAAUUAUUGUCACAUCUCUGUGGUCGUGGUCCUAGAGGUAAGAGGAAAUCAUUCUGGACGGUUGGCAGGACUCCUGCAAGUACUACCUCUCUUGUUUAUUUUGUAGAGAGGCAAGACUUGCUCAUGAAUCUUCAUAUUUCUGUAGGCUGGAGGAGGUGGUGAAGCUGAUAACUUGGACCUCAGCAAUAGUGUUGAGAGCAGAGUCUGUGAGUCAGCCCUGGGUUCCAGUCUUGGUCUUGCCACUUACUAGCAGUGUAACUUUGGGGAACUUAUUUCCUCUCUCUGGGCCUUGGUUUUAUCGUUGGAAAAUAAAUGGGGAUAAUAUCCACCUUGCAGGGUGUGAGGUCAAUUAGAUACAACAAUGCACAUAAAGCACCUGGCACAUAGUAGGUGAUGAAUACACAGUAGCUGAAAGAGCACCGUGACCUCCAGGUGUGCUGCCACCUGGACAAUUCGAGAACCACCUGCACUAUUUAUUGCACGAUCUCCCCAGCAGGCCCCAUUGCAGGUGGAACCAGCCAUUUACCUGGG
ensembl:lncRNA